rnacentral:rRNA from 1 species
UGGGGAAUCUUGGACAAUGGGCGCAAGCCUGAUCCAGCAAUGCCGCGUGCAGGAUGAAGGCCUUCGGGUUGUAAACUGCUUUUGUACGGAGCGAAAAGGUCUGCCCUAAUACGGUGGGCUCAUGACGGUACCGUAAGAAUAAGCACCGGCUAACUACGUGCCAGCAGCCGCGGCAAUACGAAGGGGGCUAGCGUUGCUCGGAAUUACUGGGCGUAAAGCGUGCGCAGGCGGUUAUGCAAGACAGAGGUGAAAUCCCCGGGCUCAACCUGGGAACUGCCUUUGUGACUGCAUAGCUAGAGUACGGUAGAGGGGGAUGGAAUUCCGCGUGUAGCAGUGAAAUGCGUAGAUAUGCGGAGGAACACCGAUGGCGAAGGCAGCCUCCUGGGCCAGUACUGACGCUCAUGCACGAAAGCGUGGGGAGCAAACA